rnacentral:tRNA from 1 species
CGGUACGGCUUUCAGGUAUUUUGAGGCGGUGUCAUGGGGUGUCGGGGGUCGGAGGUUCAAAUCCUCUCGUGCCGACCA